CUACGGGGGGCUGCAGUGGGGAAUAUUGCACAAUGGGCGCAAGCCUGAUGCAGCCAUGCCGCGUGUGUGAAGAAGGCCUUCGGGUUGUAAAGCACUUUCAGCGGGGAGGAAGGCGGUGAGGUUAAUAACCUCAUCGAUUGACGUUACCCGCAGAAGAAGCACCGGCUAACUCCGUGCCAGCAGCCGCGGUAAUACGGAGGGUGCAAGCGUUAAUCGGAAUUACUGGGCGUAAAGCGCACGCAGGCGGUCUGUCAAGUCGGAUGUGAAAUCCCCGGGCUCAACCUGGGAACUGCAUUCGAAACUGGCAGGCUAGAGUCUUGUUGAGGGGGGUAGAAUUCCAGGUGUAGCGGUGAAAUGCGUAGAGAUCUGGAGGAAUACCGGUGGCGAAGGCGGCCCCCUGGACAAAGACUGACGCUCAGGUGCGAAAGCGUGGGGAGCAAACAGGAUUAGAUACCCGGGUAGUC
rnacentral:rRNA from 1 species